rnacentral:rRNA from 1 species
GACGAACGCUGGCGGCGUGCUUAACACAUGCAAGUCGAACGGAAAGGCCUCUUUCGGGGGGUACUCGAGUGGCGAACGGGUGAGUAACACGUGAGUAACCUGCCCUUGACUUUGGGAUAACUUCAGGAAACUGGGGCUAAUACCGGAUAGGAGCUCUUGCUGCAUGGUGGGGGUUGGAAAGUUUCGGCGGUUGGGGAUGGACUCGCGGGUUAUCAGCUUGUUGGUGGGGUAGUGGCUUACCAAGGCUUUGACGGGUAGUCGGCCUGAGAGGGUGACCGGCCACAUUGGGACUGAGAUACGGCCCAGACUCCUACGGGAGGCAGCAGUGGGGAAUAUUGCACAAUGGGUGGAAGCCUGAUGCAGCAACGCCGUGUGCGGGAUGACGGCCUUCGGGUUGUAAACCGCUUUCGCCCAUGACGAAGCUUUGUGUGACGGUAGUGGGUAAAGAAGCACCGGCUAACUACGUG